ACGAGCCACAUGCAGGGAAACUUGCACGUGUGGUUCUGGCUGGGGACCCCGGU
rfam:Triticum aestivum genome assembly, contig: Triticum_aestivum_CS42_TGACv1_scaffold_572374_7AS